rnacentral:lncRNA from 1 species
ACGGGGUUUCACCAUGUUGGCAAGGCUGGUCUCGAACUCCUAACCUCAAGCAAUCCGCCAGGCUUGGCCUCCCAAAGUGCUGGGAUUACAGGCACCUGUCUCCGCGUUCUGCAGCACAGCUGAGAUUUGCAUCUGAGUCUCCAGGUGGCUUCUCAGGGUUGACAGAACUGAGCACCGGAAAGGAGCAUCCAGGCAGCCAGCAGUCCUCUCUGUCAAUUCAGCUCCCCCAUCGGCGGCGGCGGCGGAGACCCAGACAGGAAAUGAAUCCCCUCUAAGCGGCUGCUGCGUUCUCCUCACCCAGCUGCCCCAUUGGAGAAGCCGACUGAAGACUUUAGAAAUUCAAAUGAGGCUCUCGGGGGAGAGCGGGUCUUAAACAUUCCCCUGCGAAGGCGGCUUUAUUGAAG